CGCAGGAGUUGAGUUUUGGUUUGGUC
rnacentral:piRNA from 1 species